CGUUUUACCUGGUCAAUAUUAGAGUCGCUUUGCGCCAAAUACUUCUAAUACUGUCAGGUAAUGACGAU
rnacentral:pre_miRNA from 1 species